GUACCUGCAGAAGAAGCGCCGGCUAACUACGUGCCAGCAGCCGGCCUAAUACGUAGGGCGCGAGCGUUGUCCGGAAUUAUUGGGCGUAAAGAGCUCGUAGGCGGCUUGUCACGUCGGUUGUGAAAGCCCGGGGCUUAACCCCGGGUCUGCAGUCGAUACGGGCAGGCUAGAGUUCGGUAGGGGAGAUCGGAAUUCCUGGUGUAGCGGUGAAAUGCGCAGAUAUCAGGAGGAACACCGGUGGCGAAGGCGGAUCUCUGGGCCGAUACUGACGCUGAGGAGCGAAAGCGUGGGGAGCGAACAGGAUUAGAUACCCUGGUAGUCCACGCCGUAAACGGUGGGCACUAGGUGUGGGCGACAUUCCACGUCGUCCGUGCCGCAGCUAACGCAUUAAGUGCCCCGCCUGGGGAGUACGGCCGCAAGGCUAAAACUCAAAGGAAUUGACGGGGGCCCGCACAAGCGGCGGAGCAUGUGGCUUAAUUCGACGCAACGCGAAGAACCUUACCAAGGCUUGACAUACACCGGAAA
rnacentral:rRNA from 1 species